rnacentral:lncRNA from 1 species
AUCGUUAGAGACUUUGCCCUUAACAUCUCUCUUUUAAAUCUGAGUCCAGGAAAUAGAUUUGGAACCGGAUCAGUCCCAUCCUCGACUGCCGUCCUUCUCUCGGAAUUAUAAACACCAGUGGAUUACAGCACGCUUCCUGCAUGUGCCUUCCAUGUGGUUCUAGUGUCAGCCUCACAAUCGCAAUCUCAUAUGAAUCUCAUUUCCCAAGGAACUGACCAAGGAACUCUGACCUCUUGCCUCAAUUGCUU